rnacentral:rRNA from 1 species
AAUGGAGGAAACUCUGAUGCAGCGAUGCCGCGUGAGUGAAGAAGGCCCUUGGGUUGUAAAGCUCUUUCGUCGGGGAAGAAAAUGACUGUACCCGAAUAAGAAGGUCCGGCUAACUUCGUGCCAGCAGCCGCGGUAAUACGAAGGGGGCGAGCGUUGUUCGGAAUUACUGGGCGUAAAGGGCGCGUAGGCGGUCUUUUAAGUUAGGCGUGAAAUCCCCGGGCUCAACCUGGGAACUGCGCUUAAGACUGGAAGACUAGAAAACGGAAGAGGGUAGUGGAAUUCCCAGUGUAGAGGUGAAAUUCGUAGAUAUUGGGAAGAACACCAGUGGCGAAAGCGGCUACCUGGUCCGAUUUUGACGCUGAGGCGCGAAAGCGUGGGGAGCAAACAGGAUU